AUAUCUCUCCGUACGGGAAGGAUGAGAAGCUUCGACUAAGGUUCGAUUCGAGCGCAGCGAGAAAGCGUUGCCGCAGGCAACGACCC
rnacentral:sRNA from 1 species